AAUGUCCUCAGGUACCUGAGUAGAGGGGGAAGGGAGCACCUUACCCUGCAUCCCUCUGGCUUUCUAGUAAUGAACUCUGCUGAAUUCUGUGCUGGGGCAAUAGCACAGCCCACAGAGAAGGCUCUGAAUGCCCCCUCUGGCACAUGUGCAGUAGGUUCAACACCAUGGAUCUAAAGCAUCCAGGCUUUAAUAAGUGGAUGACCACUUAUUAGGGAGGAAUAUUAUAGAAGGGAUUGUACAGGGGUUUGGGCUAUAUGUCCAUUAUUCUAACUGACCUGAGCAUUCAAUCUUUCCAAUAUCCUAAAGCAGAAUGACCAUGCUGAAAGAAAAUUAGAUACAGUGAUUGGAUACAAUGAUGACUUUGAAAUGAUUGUUGUUUCCUGAGGAAGAGGAAGAAAAGAAGGCAGAAUGGAGAAGUCUACAUGCUUGUGAAUAGCAUCAGUGAACCUCGUAAGAACAUACUUCUCCGGAGGAAACAAAUGGAAAACGACAUUGCCCAUUUCUUUGGCUCAGAUCACCUCUACGAGAAGAAUAACCAGGCAAAGAAGCUAUCAGGAGCUGAUGAAUACUGUCCCCUAACUGUACAAAGUCGAGAUCGCAUGUCUUCCAAAUAUCCAAACAUCAGAUGGAAUGCCAUGAAAAUAAAUAACUUCUACAAUAAACAGAUG